ACGUUCAGGUAAUUGCUGCAGUCUAUAGGGCUGUAGAGGAAAGUCCAUGCUCGCACGGUGCUGAGAUGCCCGUAGUGUUCGUGCCUAGCGAAUUCAUAAGCUAGGGCAGUCAAGUUCACUUGGCUGACGGCAGGGAAAAGACCUAAGUCCAAUCAGAUAUGGUCUGAAUACCUUGAAAGUGCCACAGUGACGAAGUCUUACGAGAAAUCGUAAGAGUGGAACGAGGUAAACCCCACGAGCGAGAAACCCAAAUUAUGGUAGGGGCACCUUCUUGGAGGAAUUGAACGAAGAGAAGGACAAAAGCUGAAUUGCUUUUGUAGAUAGAUGAUUACCGCCUGAGUACGAGGUUUUUGCCGUUUGUAGUACGAUGGAACAAAACAUGGCUUAUCGAA
rnacentral:RNase_P_RNA from 1 species